GCUACAUUGCUGCCACCCUGUCACGUAACACACAGGGAGUCAAUGACACAACCUACAUCUGUGCAAAUAACAAUGGUGUAGUCAAAUUCUUCAGUGCUCUUCUGAACAACGGCAAGCUGACUCGCACACCGCUUAAAGUCAACAAUGUGAGGGGCAA